rnacentral:rRNA from 1 species
AUUGAACGCUGGCGGCAGGCCUAACACAUGCAAGUCGAACGACUGGCGGACGGGUGAGUAAUGUCUGGGAAACUGCCUGAUGGAGGUGGAUAACUACUGGAAACGGUAGCUAAUACCGCAUACCAUCGGAUGUGCCCAGAUGGGAUUAGCUAGUAGGUGGGGUAAAGGCUCACCUAGGCGACGAUCCCUAGCCGGUCUGAGAGGAUGAGCAGCCACACUGGGACUGAGACACGGCCCAGACUCCUACGGGAGGCAGCAGUGGGGAAUCUUGGGCAAUGGGCGCAAGCCUGAUGCAGCCACGCCGCGUGUAUGAAGAAGGCCUUCGGGUUGUAAAGUACUGUCAUUGGGGAGGCGUUACCCGCAGAAGAAGCCCCGGCUAACUACGUGCCAGCAGCCGCGGUAAUUC